UCAAAAUUUGAAUUCUGCGUUGAAAAUUACUACUCAAGAGUGACUAUUUCAUGUUUUUGGUGGGUUUGAGAAGGAAUAAAAUCGAUUUUUAGGUGAAUAACCGCAAGAAGGUCCUGUCGUUUCAAGAAGGUCCUAUCGAGGUCUCUUUUGUAAAGCACUCCCAUGGAAAUGUUGGUGGUGGAAAAAAAAUUACUACGCAGGAAAUAAAUAGUGGAAAGAUGCUUCUAUUCAACAAAAAAAAACCGGAGCUCGCUAUAUCAUUUUGAACCAAAAUGGCAAAACACUGAAAUAUAAAAAUGCGUUUUUCUCAAAACCAGUUUUUUGUCGAUAGGACCUUCUUGAAAAGCACCAUUCAUUAUACAAUGUGUAUUAACAAAACAAAAAAAAAAUAGAAAAUUGUUUACUUUUGGUUCUUAAAGACAUUAAAAAUAUGAACCAUGCAAUUUUGUUUACAGUUUCUUGAAAGUAUUCUGUAAUUUCACAUUUCGACAUGAUUAUGAACUGAAGUAAGUCAAGAGGUCAAGAAGUGACAUGAAUUAUGUUGUGUGUAGGUCAGGAUAUCCUGAUAUGCACCGAAUUCUGACAUGAUACCUAUGUACAUUACUAGGAUUGAUGAUAAUAAGUCCUCAUUGUAAAGUAGACUUGUUUAAUUUUUUAUAUUUGCAGUGAUAAUGAAUAAUUUGUUAUUUUGACUAUUAUUAUUAAAGUUGUUUAAAUAUUAUAUAUCUUGAGGUUCUGCUGAAUCGCCCAUUGGAAUAUCCAUAUCUUGAUAAAAUCUCAUUAAUAACGCUAAUGCGUGCCCUGAAAAAAUAAACAUUUUAUUAUUAUAUAUUAUACUAAAUCAAGAAUAUUCAGGAAAACGUUUUAGAAUACCUCUGCAAUUCUGCAUAGCUCAAAUUGAGCAAUGCUCUCCUGCUGUGGCUCGCUACUUGCCACCAAAGCUUCGCCCAUAAAAUGACAAAAAAAAAUUAAUUAAAUAUUUGAGUUUCUAGCAAAGUUUUAACCUAUUUUGAUAUGUUACAUUCCAUUUUUUUUCAAAAAUUUAAAAAAAACUUAAAAUUUUUUUUUUUUAAUCCAAAAGUGCCUAAAAAACACAUUUUAAUGAAAUAUUCGAGUUGAAGUGAACUACUUUUGAAGUCGUGUCAUGAAAAUUAGUUUUGCAAACAACUUUUCAGAGGAAUUUUUACCUUCUCAAGACAUCUUGGUGCCUCCUCACCAUUUAUACUCCUCAGAUUCGAUUCCCAGUUACCUUUACUUCGUUCUCAUUGUCAGGUGGUUUUUACCUAAGAAUCAACAUUCAUUCCAUUAUUGUGGAGGACUCUAAUCUUGAAGAAUUCAUGUCUGAGAGAGUGAGAGAGGCAAAACAGUUUUCUGAAGUAGUCCAGGAAAAUUAGCAUUCCAUUUCGGUACUUUCACUAGUCCAUUUUUAUGUACUGAACUGAACAUGAAUCUGAAGAAUCCCCGCGCGUCCCUUGUGAGCGUUCUCCCCCAGAGUGGAUUUUAGCCCUAGGUCCAAAACCAUUUUUCGCCAUUUUCUCCCCCUCAUUCCAUUUUAGUGAAAAAUGUGAUUAGAAAGAAGAACCUACGUCUAGUGAUGUAUCAACUGUUUUUGUACUGACCAAGGGGGGAGGAGGGCUACAACCAGGUGAGUUUUCUGAAAAAUACACAAAGACCUUAGGCGCAUAAGAGGGGUGAAAGGAUCCCCGAGAGCGUUCGUAUUGAUAUGUAUUUUUUAAAAAAAUAGAAAAUUGCUUACUUUUGGUUCUUAUAAAGACAUACAUAGUUGUGGCUAAGUAUUUCUCUUUAUCUUUAUCGCCAGCCCAAAUUCACUAAUGAACCUUGCAGGGGUCUAAAAUAUGGGAGGUUUUGAUGUGAAAAAUCCAAUGGAGUGAUUAGUUUAACGUUUUAAGUGCAUAUUUUGCUGAAUUCGUCGAGUAAUUUUUAUUGUAAUCUGAAUGAUUUACGAUAAAUGAUGUAAAAUGACCAUUUUUGUCUGCGAAGUUCUUUUCGUACUCGGAAAAUGAGACAUCAUCUGCAAAGACUUUGCGACCCAACUUCAUAUGAGAGCUAGCAGCUGUCAAGAAAAACAAGUAGGAACACGGAUCACUAUUUCGUAUACUGGUCCAUUCUUAUGUGCUGAACUGAACAUGAAUCUGAAGAGUCCCCGCUGGUCCCUGGUGAGCGUUCUACCCCAGAGUGGAUUUUAGCCCCCCAAAACCAGUUUUUCGCCAUUUUCUCCCCCUCAUUCCAUUUUAGUGAAAAAUGUGAUUAGAAAAAAUAAUCUACGUCAAAUUUACGAUCUAGUGAUGUAUCAACUGUUUUUUGUACCGACCAAGAGGGAGGGGGACUACAACCAGGGGGAGUUUUCUGAUAAAUACACAAAGACUUUAGGCGCAUAAAAGGGGUGAAAUGAUCCCCGAGAGCGUUCAUAUUAAAUAUGUAGAUAUUUAAAAAAAUAAAAAAUAAAAAAAAUAAAAAAUUGCUUACUUUUGGAUAUUUAGGAAAAUAUUUUAGAAUUUACACAUUCUACUAACGCUUCACCUAUAAAAAGACAAAAUAAAAUUUUAUUAAAUAUUUGCAAAACUUUAACUCAUUUUGUGAUUUUGAUAUGUUACAUUACAUUCCCUUUUUUUUUUUUCGAAAAUCAAAAGAAAUACCUACCUUCAAUACUUUUUUCAAAAAUGUCCAAAAAUGUCCGAAAAAACACAUUUUCAAUGGAAUAUUUGAGUUUCUCUCAAAAUGUUAAGCCAUUUUGAGUUUUCACCUAGCGAAUGCUAUCAUCAAUGCACCUAUAUAAUUUUUCGACUUUUCUUUGACAGUUUUCUAAUUCGAACAAUAUUUUACCGAUGAGCUUGAAUAAAAAAUGAAAUGGAAUUGGCCCGAGCAAAGCGAGGGCGAAAGUUUGCGAUAAUUUGUAAUUUGAGAAGCUAUGAAUUUUCCAAAUUCUGCCAAUGUUUCCCUAAAAAUUGUUAGGUAAUUUUGAAAAAGGAAAACAAAUAAGCUCGAGCGAAGCGAGAACCACAAAGUUGAUUUAAAAAAAUUUACCACAUCAGGUAAAACUUCUUAUCAAAUUCUUUCAAAUGAAAAAAAAAACGAGAAUUUUAAAUGCUUAAUUACUUAGAGCUGAAAUUUUAAAUCAAACAAUCAAUCAAAUCAUUUAUUGCAGUACUUAGACACCUUUAGCUGUAUUUACAAUGUCAAUAAACUAAAUAUUAAUUACAGUAGUCCCCGCUUAAUGUAGUCGCGGUGGAUAGAAUAAUUCGGAUAAUGGAAUCAAAAUGGGUUGGGACAGAACGCUUGCAUCUUUUUACAUGCAAAUUUUAUCGCUUAUUGUAGUGAGAAAGAGCAUUGAGUUCGGUUAAUAGAAUUGAUUAAUCUUCAAAAGUUGGAGAAAAUCAUGGAAAUUUGACAAAAUUUAACAAGAAGUGGAUGAAAAAGACAUGUUUUAAACACGUUAAAAUAGCAUAAAAACACAAAAUGAAGAUUAUUUUGAAAUGAGUGAAAAUUGGAAAAAAAGAUGAUGACAUUUUUGUAAAAUUGUAUAAAAAUUAUCCAAAAAGUGUUCAAAACAUAUUAAAAGACUAAAUGUACCUAACUAAACAACCAAAAAAGUACUGAAAUUGACUCCUAAAAUCAUCAAAAAGUAAUGAAAUUUCAACAGAAUUUGGAAUUUUGUGUGUUUUUAUCCUUCACCUUUCUCUGGUUUAUAGAAUGAAACAUACUGGGUCCCAACUGAUUCUAAUAAAUAAGUAUGAGUAGAAAGUGGAAAUUUGUUUGUGAAAAUGAUGGAGAUUAUGCUGAAGGAAGUCCAAGCUUAUUUAUGACCAGACCAGGGGAAAGCCCAAAUACAAGUAGUAUUUUCAUAGUAUGAGGUUAUAAUGCUAUAAGCAAAGAUACAGGAUAAAUAUUUCGAAAUUUUUUCUGCGUUUUUUUAUUGGACCGCUUAUUAGAAUAUCCCGGUUAAUAGAAUUAAAAGUACCUCGGCCCAAACCAAUUCCAUUAAGCGGGGACUACUGUAUAACAUAUUAACAUACUUAGUACCUACUACUGGAGGGGAAAAAAGUGAAUUGAAAAUACAGAUAGGUAAUUAAAUUAUACAAAAUGUUCAGAAAUACUCUUUUGUGAGAAUAAUAUGUUUGAAAUGAGAGAAAAAAAGGGAAAAAACAGAAAACCACAAAAAAAAACAACAGAUUAUAAGAUACACAGCUCAUGAAAACACAGUGAAAUACUUACUCCUUUGGUGAGAACAAUAGUAAGUUUGAAAUGAAAUAUCAUAAGAAAAUAGUAAUAAUAAUACCUAAUAAAAAUUAAAGAAACAACAGAUUAUAAAAAUUACAGUAAAUUUUUGAGGCCAUGAAAUCAAUGUUAUUUUGCAUAAUUUUUGUUCUUAAAUUUUCACUUAUAGCCAAAUUUCUAAAUCUUGUUUCAUGUGUAUGAGAAGGUACCUUGAGAUUUAUUAUUCCAUUCUUUACCAUAAUUGUACAUACAUAAUUGAAGAAUGUACUCACAUGGAGCUGUCAACUCUUGGUGAAGGGAGAUAUUGAAAUCUGUGGGGUAAAUCUUACCAAUAGGGGCAUCAACGGGUGUUUGAUGAAAGUUUCUGAAAAGGUUAUGUGCAACAUGGCUCUUACUCUUCAUGGGAGCGAAAAAAAAUGUACCUAAAGUGUACCGAUUCCUGAAUUUCUCAAUAAACAUUUUUUUCUUAAAAAAAUGAAAUUUUGGUGGGAAUAUGUGGAGGGGGAGGUACCAUACUGUAUUCACACACAAAAUUUCAGCAAAAUCAGUUCUAAAAAAUACGUUCCACAGCGAUUUUUUCAAUUUUUAUCCAUGGAAAAUUCAACUCUUUUUGCUCUGUAGAGUGUUGUAUGGGCCGGAUACGGCUCAUUUUUGGCAUACCAAUUUAUGAGGAACCGACCAACUUGCAUGCCGAAAAUGAGCCGGAUCCGGCCCAUACAACACUAUACAGAGCAAAAAGAGUUGAAUUUUCCAUGGAUUAAAAAUUGAAAAAAUCGCUGUGAAACGUAUUUUUUGGAACCGAUUUUGCUGAAAUUUUGUGUGAGAAUACAGUACCUCCCCCUCCACAUAUUCCCACCAAAAUUUCAUUUUUUUAAGAAAAAAAAUUUUUAUUGAGAAAUUCAGGAAUUGGUACACGAUAGGUACAUUUUUUUUGAUCCCAUGAAGGGUUGGAGCCAUGUUGCACAAUAUAAUAACCUUUUUUUUCGUCUAGGCGAGAUCUACACGUGGUUAAAUUACUCGGAAACUUUCAUUAAACACCCUACAUAUACUCUCUGUAUACAUAGUAUAGGCCUCCUACUGGAGAUUUGGAUCGCGAAAACGUGAUUUUAACGUUUUUUCAAAGAGUGAAAUCUCAGAAUUUGACCAAAAAUAGCUCAAUUUUGAAAGUUACAGGAAAAAUUAAAUGACAAAAUUACCAAGCACUUGCUAGGGUGUUUUGAAUGUAAAUUUUUCAAUUUAUUUGAAAAAAUGUGCAUAAACGCAUUUUUUAGGGGUGCCUAAAGUGGGCGAGGACUCUAAAAAGAGGGUUCGAAAUUACGAAAUGCCUCAAAACGUUACGUUUGGCGCAAAUCACAGGUUUUUAUUUUUCUAGGGGUUCCCAAAAUAUCGAAAUUACGAAAAUUGGAAAAUUUUAUUUUUGAGUACCAGCGCAAAAUUUUAUUGGGCUCAAAAUUUGGUAGGAUGGAGGUCUUUCAGAUGUAUUAAUAAACUGUAAAAAGCUUUUUAGCGGCGUUCAAAGGGAUAGGUUCAAAAUGGUGGUUCCAAAAUUUUUCAAAAAUCAUAAACCCCCAUUUCUGCCCCCGAGGGUUGAAAAUAGAAAAAUCGCAUAACGUUUAUUGGGUUCAAACAGAUACCUAUUUCACGCUAAAAAAGUUUUUGAAAAUAAUUCUCAGAGGUUCUCAAUGUUCUUUUUUAUUCACAACUUUGGGAACCCCUGGAGCCAAAAAAAUGGACAUUUUGGGUUGAAUAAUCACGGAUUCGUAUUUGGGACAUUUAAUUAUAACAUUUCAAGAGUGGUCGAGUCGAUAACUGUCCGGGCCCAAAAAAACAGCCUUGUCGAGACUCCUCCAAAAAGAGGAAAUCUCAUCAUUUCACGAGUAUUUAUUUAAUUUUUGCUUUUGUUUGACUGAAAAAAUCUGAAUGCAGCGGUCAAUUGGCUGGAAACAUCAACGUAAAAUUCCGGAAUUUUUUUUUUUCGUGGUACGAGUACCUCCUCCAGGGGGGAGGGUGGAUUUUAAGGUUCAUAAUUAUUAUUGCUGUGCACAACUUCGUCGUGUAAUUUUUAUACCUAACGUCUUGUAAAUGGCUUGGCUGUGUAUCAAGAGUGAGCUAUUUUUAUGCCGAAAAACAUUCCAGAAAGGCAUUGAUCUCGUUCAAGACGUAAGUUAUACUUGACGAUGAAGCAUACAUACACAACUGUCGAGACAUGUACUUUGGCUCUGACUCAGAGAUACGAUUAAUUUGGCAACAUAUUUGACUCGGAUGUAAUGUGUGAAUAACGUUAUAAAAAUGUUCAUCCGCAAAAAAAAUUCACUGCGAAAGAAUUCCUAUCCCCCCGCCCACCUUCUAAGGAAACAUGUAACAAUAUUAUAAAAAUAUAGAAGUACGGAAAUGAAAAAUAUUUUUAAAAAAAUAAAUAAUGAAAAAAUACUGAAAAUUAUAGUGGGUCAUUCCAUGCCAAAUCGGCGGAUUUUUGCACGAAGGGUAUUCCAAUUUUUUUCAAAAUCAGAUCAUUUGUAGAUAGGGGUCAUCAAACUAUGACGAAUGACGCAAACUAGACAUUUUUUCGAUUUUUUUUUUGGCGGAGCUAUGGGGCUUUAACGUUUUCCAAAAUGGCUGAAAAUGGAAAAUUUCAGUUGCAAAUCGCUCCGGUUGUAAGUACGUCGUAUUGAAUUUUGAACUUUUCUUCAAAUUGUAGUACCUACUUUCAGAGGGUAUUCGACGAAUGAUGUCAAAAUCAGUGUUGUCACUUUCAAAAACCUAAAAAAUCUAAAAAUCUAUAAUUUAAAUAUAAAACCACGAUGGUCGCGAGUAAAAAUUCUGAAAAAAUUCUCUGUGUUAGUACUUUUCAUGUACCAUAGAAUAACAUAUAAAAAAAUUUAACUAGCAUUUUUUUUCAUUUUCAAGAAAGAAAAUGACAAGUUUUACACUUAGGUAUUAUGUAUACUUACUUAUUGCAAAAAUACCAUCAGAAACCUACGAAAUGAAAAUUUUUGCAUUUUUGAGAUAUUUUACCAAUGUGUAGAGGUAGACGAACAUGUGAAAAGAAAUCUCCCUCCCUCCCAAUUUGUCAACGAAUCGACGAGAACUGACAUUUUUCGUGAUAUAAUAUUAAGAGUGAAACAUGUUGAAAAAAUUUCGCCACCGUUUUAAACAGCAGCAGGAACCUAAAAAACGAAUAUUUUUGGAUUUUUGAAAUAUUUCACCAAUAUGUAGAUGGACAUGUGAAAAAAUCCCCCCCCCCAAUUUGUCAAUCUAACGUAAUUUUUGCUCCGUGGAUUGAAGACUAGCAUGACGUUAAUAUAAGACUUGCCUCAGUUGAUUUCAAGGAUAAUUGAGAAUACGAUUUUUUUUACCCAAAAACGCUCCCGCUCCCUUUAAGUUGAUUUGAAAAAAUUUACCACAGUACCUAACUACCUACUUAGGUAACUACAAAUUUUUAAAAAAAAACAACUGACAAAAAUUUUGAAGAGCGGAAAUAGAUUUGGUUCUUAAAAUUUGUUCUAUAAUACUUCCAAUCAAGUGUUCUUCUUGUGUUUGAACGUUAUGAACUUAUGAUCAUCCGGAGAAUUCACGUUUUCUCGAGGCAGACACAUUGUGAAGUAUAAUAAGUACCUACUUAUUUCCAACAAAAAAAUAAAAUAAAUAAAUAAUAAUAAACCGAUUGAAUAUUCGAAUAUAUUUUUAAAAAUUAAAAAAAAACCGACGCCAGCGACAAUUUGAUAAUAAAUGGUGAAUACUUUGCUAUAAUUACUUUGCGGAUAAUUUUGCAUGUAGGUAACAUCUCACCUACCCUAAAAAAGAUUCUUUUAAUAUGUAUAAUAAUAAUACUUAUUGUUAGAUAGAUAAAUCCCACAUACAUACAGCCAAGAACAAUCCAUAACUCGAUCUUCAGCUGUUAUGCAAUUAAUUUCCAUGUACAUAAAUUACGAAGAGAUUGGAAAUCUCGCUGGGUGCUUCCAGAAUGACCAAAAACAGAUAAGAGGAGGGGGACUUGAUAUUGGUUUCGGGACUACUUUCCAUCAUUUUUACCGAAUAAAUACAAAUUUUUGUAAAAAAAAAAAAAAAUAGUGGUCAAUUUUUAAAUUCCUCAAACGUUGAAAAAUCCAUUUGGGCAGCUGUAAUUUUGAGUGCUCUUUAAAAAUCGUAGUCCUUUUCAGCCUUGAUUUAAGAAUUUCAAGCCCAAAAUCUGUUUCAUCAAAUUUUGUGAAUUCGGGUCUUAAAAGUCGAAAAAUCCAUUAGGCCAGUUAAAAUUUUGAUAGCUCUGAUUUAAGAAUUUUAAGCCCAAAAUCUGGUUUAUGAAAUGUUGCGAAUUAGGGAAAAUCGUGGAGUUGGGUUUUUGGGAAAAUGUCUAUUCGGGAUAUUGGAUUCGGGCGAAAGUGCAGGAACGGUGUUGGAAAAUUGUGGCAUGAGAGGUGAGCGGGUUCUGCGCCAGGAAGCAACAAUUCAACUCUGCGCUUCCUCUGAGCGAACAGAAAACAGAAAACCAUUCGGCCUGCUUUCGCUCAUGUUUGAAAAUGAGGUUUGAAAUGUCGAAAAAUAUCAUCGAAUGCACGUUUAAUGCCAAUUUAAGAGUAUCUGAGAAGUUCUGUUGAAAAAUUUUGCAGGGUUAUAGUUAUAUUUUUAAUUAUAAUGUAUUUUCAACCGUCAUAUUUUUAAUGAAUUAGGUAUUCACUUUUUUAAUUUGAAAAAAAAAAUGAUACCUAGAUAGAUUGUAAACUUUUUUACCAAACCUUGCGUAAAGGUGGAUGAAGAAGGAGGCAAACUUUUACCUUCUUCUUGAAAUUUAUUAUAUGUAUAUGUAUCUAGUAAUUACCUACAUACAAUAUCAAUGCCUUUUUACGAGUUAAACUCAAUUGAAUAGUAAUAUUGUUUAUUUCAUGGAAUGAUUAAAAAAAGUAUAUACUUACAUAAUAUGAAGCGAGUAAAUUGUUUAUGAGUCUGUACAAAUAUAAUAAUGAUACAUAAGUAUAUUGAAUUUGAAUUAAUUGAUAAUACGAAAUUGUUAUGACAACACAAUGAAUGUACUAAUGCAUAAGACAAAUAACGAAUUAAGCAUAAAUUAAAACAGAAAAAAUUAUAAGUAGAUACGCUAAAGUAAAAUGAUCGCCAGUCAAGAAAAGGAAAUGUAAUGGUACAAAAGACAAGAAAGGGGAACGAAUUCUGUUUUCUCGGUUGCUAAUGAGAUGCCACAAGAAAUAAUUACCCCCUUGCUACCCGACUUUUGUAAGAUAAAUGCCUAUGGGUGAUAUGGAAAACGAUAAUGAAUUUAAUCAUGCUGAAACUACGAAAGAGCUAAAUAAAAAAGAAAAUUUUAACGAAAAAUAAAUUUAUUUCAAUAUUAAUUUGAAGAAUAGAGAUGAAAAUCGGAUCACCUAAAUCUCACAGAAACAAUGCAGCUGGCUAUAUAUUGAGCUCGCAUCAUGUUGGAACAUUGAGUACUGUGGAAUAAAUUUUCAAAACGUCGAGUGGAAUGAUCGGUUAUGAUUUCUGCUACUAGCUGUGUUAGUAACGUGAUUGCAAAUUUAGAAUUUAGCGUUGACUUAUCACUUGUUUUCCCAAUGGGAUGCCAUUUUAUGUAUUUCUCUGCGCUCUGUUUUCUGGACAUGUGGAACUGUCUACUUGGAUGAUAACGUUCGUAAAAAUCCAUUAACAUAGUUUUACCUCGCAUAUUUUCGCGAGUGAUAAGUUGAUAACAUUAUUAGGACAUACGAUUGGCUUUUAAUUGCAUCAUUCACGUUGAAGAUUUAGCAAUUUAUCAAUCCUUGCUCUACUCCAACGAUCACUCAUGAAGAUCAGCUCUAGAUAAUAUUAUAGUCAAAGAUGCAUCCCUUCAGAACAAUGUGUAUGUUUCAGCUCUCACACAGUUUGGUCGAAUUGAACAGAAUGGCUAUCGCAAGAUCUGCGUUUCAAAAAAAAAACCAAACUAAAUUCCUUUUUAAAAUUAUAAAACUUUUUACUUGAACUUUAUAAUAAUACAUUUUAUAAUAUGUAUGAUUAAUUGAUUAGGUACCUAUUUAGAAGCAAGUUCAGAAUAAAUUCAACAUUUUUUAUUUAUUUAUUUACUUUUUGUUUCUGUAGAUAAGUACCUACUGAUGAAAUAAUCAUUUCUUUAAAAAAAAACACAAGGUAUUUUGAAUUUAAUGUUUGAAGUACAUACCAGCCAUAAUUGGACGGAUUUACUUACAUACUUAUUACUUACAUUUCCAUAAUACUGCCUAACUUCCGUAUCCGAAUCAUUUUUUGAAGUAGUUUUAAUACAGAAACUAAAUUCUUUUUUUGAAUCAUAAAAUUUUUAACUUAUUGAACUUUAGGAAUAAUGAUACAUUUUAUAUUAUGAUUAAUUGAUUACCUAUUUAGAAGCAAAUUCAGAAUAAAUUCAAUAUUUUUAAUUUUUUGUUUGUUUUUGUAGAUACUGAUGAAAUAAUAAUUUCUUUUUUUAAAAAAACAAUGUAUUUUGAAUUUAAUGUUUGAAGUACCUCUGCCAUAAAUGGACAAAUUUACUUACAUUCAAUAAUAUUACCUAAUUAUCCGAAUCAUUUUGAAACAGUCUAACCGAAUACAGAAACUAAAUUUCUAUUUUAAAUUAUAAAACUUUUAACUUGAACUUUAUAAUUAAUAAUAAUACAUUUUAUAUUAUGAUUAAUUGAUUACCUAUUUAGAAGCGAAUUCAGAAUAAAUUCAAUAGGUAUUUUUAAUUUUUUUUGUUUUUUUUGUUUUUGUUUUUGUUUUUGUAGAUACUGAUGAAAUAAUCAUUUCUUUUUUUAAAAAAACAAUGUAUUUUGAAUUUAAUGUUUGAAGUACAUACCUGCCAUAAUUGGGCGGAUUUACUUACAUUCCAUAGAUAAUAUUUUGUAUUCGUAAUACUAAUAGUAAGUAUUAUUGUGAAACAGUCUUAAAACAGAAACUAUGUAAAUUCCUUUUUAUUUAAAUCAUAAAACUUUUAACUUGAACUUUAUAAUAAUAAUACAUUUUAUAUUAUGAUUGAUUGAUUACCUAUUUAGAAGCAAAUUAAGAAUAAAUUCAAUAUUUUUAAUUUUUGGUUUUUUUGUGUUUUUGUAGAUACUGAUGAAAUAAUCAUUUCUUUAAAAAAAAAAAAACAAUGUAUUUUGAAUUUAAUGUUUGAAGUAGGUAACUGCCAUAAUUGGAAGGAUGUACUUACAUAUUUGCAUUCCAUAGGUAAUAAAUUAUUCGCAUCAUUUGAAACAGUCUUGAUUCAGAAACUAAAUUCCUUUUUUAAAUCAUAAAACUUUUAACUUGAACUUUAUAAUAAUAUUUAUAAUAAUACAUUUUUAUAUUAUGAUUAAUUGAUUACCUAUUUAGAAGCAAAUUCAGAAUAAAUUAUAUCGUUUUAA